rnacentral:rRNA from 1 species
CCUACGGGAGGCAGCAGUAGGGAAUAUUGCACAAUGGGGGAAACCCUGAUGCAGCAACGCCGCGUGGAGGAUGAAGCUUCUCGGCUCGUAAACUCCUUUUGUCAGAGAAGAUAAUGACGGUAUCUAACGAAUAAGCACCGGCUAACUCCGUGCCAGCAGCCGCGGUAAUACGGAGGGUGCAAGCGUUAUCCGGAAUUACUGGGCGUAAAGGGCGCGUAGGCGGGGAUGCAAGUCAGGUGUGAAAUCCUAGGGCUUAACCAUAGAACUGCAUUUGAAACUGUUUUGCUAGAGUAUGGGAGGGGUAGGUGGAAUUCCUGGUGUAGGGGUGAAAUGCGUAGAUAUCAAGAGGAAUAC